GACGAACGCUGGCGGCGUGCUUAACACAUGCAAGUCGAACGGUGAAGCCCUUCGGGGUGGAUCAGUGGCGAACGGGUGAGUAACACGUGAGCAACCUGCCCCUGACUCUGGGAUAACUACCGGAAACGGUGGCUAAUACCGGAUAUUACUUGCCUGGGCAUCUGGGUGGGUGGAAAGUUUUUCGGUUGGGGAUGGGCUCGCGGCCUAUCAGCUUGUUGGUGGGGUGAUGGCCUACCAAGGCGACGACGGGUAGCCGGCCUGAGAGGGCGACCGGCCACACUGGGACUGAGACACGGCCCAGACUCCUACGGGAGGCAGCAGUGGGGAAUAUUGCGCAAUGGGCGAAAGCCUGACGCAGCGACGCCGCGUGGGGGAUGUAGGCCUUCGGGUUGUAAACCUCUUUCAGCAGGGAAGAAGCGUGAGUGACGGUACCUGCAGAAGAAGCACCGGCUAACUACGUGCCAGCAGCCGCCGUAA
rnacentral:rRNA from 1 species